UACGAAGGGUGCAAGCGUUACUCGGAAUUACUGGGCGUAAAGCGUGCGUAGGUGGUGAGUUAAGUCUGUCGUGAAAGCCCCGGGCUCAACCCUGGGCGUGCAGUGGAUACGGGCAGGCUGGAGGCAGGCAGGGGAGAACGGAAUUCCCGGUGUAGCGGUGAAAUGCGCAGAUAUCGGGAGGAACACCGGUGGCGAAGGCGGUUCUCUGGGCCUGUACUGACGCUGAGGAGCGAAAGCGUGGGGAGCGAACAGG
rnacentral:rRNA from 1 species